CCUACGGGAGGCUGCAGUCGAGGAUCUUCGGCAAUGGGCGGAAGCCUGACCGAGCGACGCCGCGUGUGCGAUGAAGGCCUUCGGGUUGUAAAGCACUGUCGUGGGGGAGAAAGGCCCGCAAGGGCUUGAUCGACCCCAGGAGGAAGCUCGGGCUAAGUUCGUGCCAGCAGCCGCGGUAAGACGAACCGAGCGAACGUUAUUCGGAAUCACUGGGCUUAAAGGGCGCGUAGGCGGGCCAUCAAGUCGAGGGUGAAAGCCCCCAGCUCAACUGGGGAAGUGCCUCCGAUACUGGUGGUCUCGAGGGGGAUAGGGGCGUGCGGAACUUCCGGUGGAGCGGUGAAAUGCGUAGAUAUCGGAAGGAACACCGGUGGCGAAAGCGGCGCGCUGGAUCCCUUCUGACGCUGAGGCGCGAAAGCCAGGGGAGCGAACGGGAUUAGAUA
rnacentral:rRNA from 1 species